UACGUAGGGUGCGAGCGUUGUCCGGAAUUAUUGGGCGUAAAGAGCUCGUAGGCGGUGUGUCGCGUCGGCCGUGAAAACCUGGGGCUUAACUCUGGGCGUGCGGUCGAUACGGGCAUCACUAGAGUUCGGCAGGGGAGACUGGAAUUCCUGGUGUAGCGGUGAAAUGCGCAGAUAUCAGGAGGAACACCGAUGGCGAAGGCAGGUCUCUGGGCAUUAACUGACGCUGAGGAGCCGAAAGCAUGGGGAGCGAACAGG
rnacentral:rRNA from 1 species